AUGCCUUGCUCUUCACAGUACUUCAAGAAGGCUGUCGAAGUAUACUCCCCACCUCUGUCUGAUCGAAGAGCUUUGAUGUGUCUGUCUGUUGCUUUCUCCACUAUUAUCUUAAACUUCUUGAAUACUUCGAAGGCUUCUGACUUUUCUUUCAGAAAAUACACCCAAGUUUUCCUUGAGAAAUCAUCAAUAAAGGAUAUAAAGUACUUUUUUCCACUGAAGGAUUCUGGGAUAAUUGAUCCAUAUAUGUCAGUGUGA